rnacentral:rRNA from 1 species
GGGAUCCCGGCCCCGCGGGGUCGGGCGCACCACCGGCCCGUCUCGCCCGCACCGUCAGGGAGGUGGAGCGUGAGCGCCGUGCGAUAGGACCCGAAAGAUGGUGAACUAUGCCUGGGCAGGGC